CAUCCAUAACAACUUUCUCAACUACUUUCUCAAACAUGUCCAACUGAUUUGGAUUUGGGUGGUUGAGUACGCCUGUUGAUUUCAAUUUCUACAUCAUAAAAACAACUGAAUGUAAUACAGAAAUAAUAUCCACAAAUAAUAACAAUAACAUGUAACACAUAAAUUUUAAAUUAUACAUAUACCUCAAUCACAUCGCUGACACACUUCUCUCGGUUAACCUCAACCAACCUCUCUCACUCAUUUCGCACCUCCUGCAACAUAUUCU
rnacentral:lncRNA from 1 species